rnacentral:rRNA from 1 species
GCGCAGCAGGCGCGAAAACUUUACAAUGUGCGAAAGCACGAUAAGGGGAACUCUGAGUGCCUCCUAAGGAGGCUGUUCUGAUGUCUAAAAAAGCAACAGAAGUAAGGGCUGGGUAAGACCGGUGCCAGCCGCCGCGGUAACACCGGCAGCCCAAGUGGUAGCCACGUUUAUUGGGUCUAAAGCGUUCGUAGCCGGCCAGGUAAGUUCCUUGGUAAAUUUAGCCGCUUAACGGUUAAGCUUUCGGGGAAUACCGCUUGGCUUGGGACUGGGAGAGGUCAGAGGUACUCCGGGGGUAGGGGUGAAAUCUAUUAAUCCCUGGGGGACCACCGGUAGCGAAGGCGUCUGACCAGACCAGGUCCGACGGUGAGGGGACGAAGGCUAGGGGCGCGAACCGGAUUAGAUACCCCU